UCUAUGAAAAUAAGCGAUAUUUAAGGGGAAAAACAGGGAUUUCUAUGAAAAUAAGCGAUAUUUGAGGUUAAAAACAGGGAUUUCUAUGAAAAUAACCGAUAUUUUAGGUUAAAAACAGGGAUUUCAAUGAAAAUAAGCGAUAUUUAAGGUUAAAAACAGGGAUUUCAAUGAAAAUAAGCGAUAUUUAAGGUUAAAAACAGGGAUUUCUAUGAAAAUAAGCGAUAUUUUAGGUUAAAAACAGGGAUUUCUAUGAAAAUAAGCGAUAUUUGAGGUUAAAAACAGGGAUUUCUAUGAAAAUAAGCGAUAUUUAAGGUUAAAAACAGGGAUUUCUAUGAAAAUAAGCGAUAUUUGAGGUUAAAAACAGGGAUUUCUAUGAAAAUAAGCGAUAUUUGAGGUUAAAAACAGGGAUUUCUAUGAAAAUAAGCGAUAUUUUAGGUUAAAAACAGGGAUUUCUAUGAAAAUAAGCGAUAUUUAAGGUUAAAAACAGGGAUUUCUAUGAAAAUAAGCGAUAUUUGAGGGGAAAAACUGGGAUUUCUAUGAAAAUAAGCGAUAUUUAAGGUUAAAAACAGGGAUUUCUAUGAAAAUAAGCGAUAUUUUAGGUUAAAAACAGGGAUUUCUAUGAAAAUAAGCGAUAUUUAAGGUUAAAAACUGGGAUUUCUAUGAAAAUAAGCGAUAUUUAAGGGGAAAAACAGGGAUUUCUAUGAAAAUAAGCGAUAUUUGAGGUUAAAAACAGGGAUUUCUAGGAAAAU